rnacentral:rRNA from 1 species
GUAGGGAAUUUUCCGCAAUGGGCGAAAGCUUGACGGAACAAUACCGCGUGAGGGAUGACUGCCUAUGGGUUGUAAACCUCUUUUUUCAGGGAGGAAUAAUUGACGUGUACCUGAAGAAUAAGCAUCGGCUAACUCCGUGCCAGCAGCCGCGGUAAGACGGGGGAUGCAAGUGUUAUCCGGAAUCACUGGGCGUAAAGCGUCUGUAGGUGGUUAAAUAAGUCAACUGUUAAAUCUUAGGGCUUAACCUUAAAAUCGCAAUCGAAACUAUUAGACUAGAGUAUAGUAGGGGUAAAGGGAAUUUCCAGUGGACCGGUGAAAUGCGUAGAGAUUGGAAAGAACACCAAUGGCGAAGGCACUCUACUGGGCUAUUACUGACACUCAGAGACGAAAGCUAAGGUAGCAAAUGGGAUUAGAUACCCCAGUAGUCUUAGCCGUAAACAAUGGAUACUAGGUGUUGAA